GUUCCUAUAGUUGAAUACAACGGUGGUUUUUCAAGCCAUUAGUCCUGGUUAAAGUCCUGGUGGGAAUU
rnacentral:tRNA from 1 species